AAAAUUGUGUUGAAAUUGGAUUUUUGGUGGAAAUGAAGAUUUUAGACCCAAAUGAAGACCUCACCAUUGGAGAGGGGUGGGUCUUAGGUGGGGACCACCUUCUAAGACCCAAACUAAGACCCACCCAUUGGAGAUGCUCUAAUGUGUUAUGUUCUAAUAUAGUGGCAAAAUUUGUUUUUUUUUUUUGUUUUUUUUAAGACCCUAGGGUGAGGGGUUAGGCAUAUCCCCAACCUGUAAAUAACCAUCAACCAACAUCCCAUACAUGACGUUGUCCAAAAGUGACGUUGUCAAAAUUUGGUUUUAUUUCAUUCUUCAUGAUUUAUAAAUUAAAUUUCUCUCUCACAAUCUUUAUUCCAACUAUGCCGUCAUUCUCUAAUAUAGAAUAUGAUUCACAAAAGAGACUUCUUCUAGAUUAUUUCAAAUUUA
rnacentral:lncRNA from 1 species